rnacentral:rRNA from 1 species
GACYUCAAAUCGGGUGGGACUACCCGCUGAACUUAAGCAUAUCAAUAAGCGGAGGAAAAGAAACUAACAAGGAUUCCCCUAGUAACGGCGAGUGAAGAGGGAAAAGCUCAAAUUUUGAAUCUGGUGUCUUUGACUCCCGAGUUGUAAUCUAGAGAAGUGUUUUCCGUGUCGGACCGUGCACAAGUUCCCUGGAACGGGGCGUCAUAGAGGGUGAGAAUCCCGUAUAUGGCAUGGACUGCCGAUGCUUUUGUGAUACACUCUCAACGAGUCGAGUUGUUUGGGAAUGCAGCUCAAAAUGGGUGGUAAAUUCCAUCUAAAGCUAAAUAUUGGCGAGAGACCGAUAGCGAACAAGUACCGUGAGGGAAAGAUGAAAAGCACUUUGGAAAGAGAGUGAAACAGUACGUGAAAUUGUUGAAAGGGAAGCGUUUGAAGUCAGUCGUAUCUGGCGGGAUUCAGCCGAGCUUCUGCUUGGUGUACUUCCCGUCCGAUGGGUCAGCAUCAAUUUCGACCGGGGGAGAAAGGCGUGGGGAAUGUGGCUGUCUUCGGGCAGUGUUAUAGCCCCAUGUUGUAUGCCUCGGUUGGGAUUGAGGAACGCAGCGCGCCUCAUGGCCAGGGGUUCGCCCUUGACACGCGCUAGAUGC